rnacentral:rRNA from 1 species
GGAAUUUUCCGCAAUGGGCGAAAGCCUGACGGAGCAAUACCGCGUGAGGGAUGACGGCCUGUGGGUUGUAAACCUCUUUUCUCAAGGAAGAAGUUCUGACGGUACUUGAGGAAUAAGCAUCGGCUAACUCUGUGCCAGCAGCCGCGGUAAUACAGAGGAUGCAAGCGUUAUCCGGAAUCACUGGGCAUAAAGCGUCUGUAGGUGGUUUGGUAAGUCUGCUGUUAAAGACUGGGGCUCAACCCCAGAAAAGCAGUGGAAACUGCCAGACUUGAGUGUGGUAGAGGUAGAGGGAAUUCCUAGUGUAGCGGUGAAAUGCGUAGAUAUUAGGAAGAACACCAAUGGCGAAGGCACUCUACUGGGCCAUAACUGACACUGAGAGACGACAGCUAGGGGAGCAAAUGGGAUUAGAUACCCCAGUAGUC